CCGUUCUCAAGGUUGGACACACGAGGGCAGUCAAGCUCCAUCCAGCACAACACACAACGCCACCUGAAACAGAAGGAAGCUGCCUUAAUCACGAUGAACCCAGGCUACGCAGGCAGGACCGAGCUCCAGGACAACCUGGAGGCCGCUUCAGAUCCGUCUCCAUGAUUGUGCCCGACCACGCCGUCAUCGCAGAGGUGUGCUCGGGUGCCGUCAUUCAUUACAUUAUGUAAUGAACGCAAUAACGGAUGUAUUCUGGCGUGUUACAGAACCGUUUCACGUUGUCUUUUUUGCUGUAGGUGGACUUGUGAGCUGAGGGCUUCAAGUCCAGUGAGACUCUGGCGAAGAAGAUGAUUCAGCUGUAUAAGCUGUGCAGCAAGCAGCUUUCCCGGCAGGACCACUACGACUUCAACAUGAGAGUCGUCAACUCUGUUAUCGUCAUGGCCGGGUCUCUGAUGCGAGAGGACCCACACCUGAGUGAGAACGUGGUGUUGAUUAGAGCGCUACGAUACUCCAACCUGCACAAGUUACUCAAGGAUGACGCAGAACUUAAAAUAAAAUAAAUUGAUAAAUAGUAAAGAACGCCAAAGCUUACAUAUGGAGUAUCAAAGGUGUUGGCUCAAAUUUAGCCUAUUACCCAAAAACACUUAAAAUUCAACUUAGAAGCCAAUACUCACAUCUACCUCUGAGCCCAGUUGGAGAUAGAAAAAAACACCAGUUGUGAGUGAGAAGAAGCAAGGGUCCAGCUUUAUUGGUUCCGUUCCACCACACGAGAUCCACACCGAUGAGAAUUCCCAGAAGUGAUCUGAUACCCUGAGCUUAAGCUCCAGUAUUUAUAUUGUAUUUACCCAGUAAAUAACCCAUAUGUUUCAAGAAGACUAUAUCACUACCAAUAGGGUUAAAAAAGAGCUCAUCUAGCUUACUAUUAUGUUCAAGAAAAGGGCUAUUCCACUUGCACAUAGAAUCAAAACCAGGGGUUUUCAAAUUACACAUAAAAUCAAAACUAAGGGAUUUCUAAUAACCCAGAAAAUCAAAACCAAGGGAUUCUACUAACCCAGAGAAUCAAAACCAAGGGAUUCUACUAACCCAGAGAAUCAAAACCAAGGGAUUUGAAUAACCCGUAAAAUCAAAAGUGGAGAGACAAAACAUUAUCAUUAUCACAGGAUCACUGGAAUCAGGCACUAGGAGGAAAUUCCAGGACAAAUUAGGAAAUACAAUUAACUGACAUUUGCAAAUUCUUUGCAACUAAAAAGCUGUAAUUAUAUACUAUAUAACUUUUUUUUUAAAGCAUUUGAAGUAUAUAACAUUAGCACCUUGUAAUGUUAUACCAGAUGAAAAGUAAAGAAUCCUGGAACAUCUGAACAUCCAUAAUCUGAAAAUCUUGAACCUAGUGUCAAUCGAGUCAAUCCAAUCUUUGUGCGUUUAGCGGUAUUCAGUCGGACCUCUUUCCUGGUGUGGGCGUCCCCGUGCAUGACUACGGCGUGCUUCAGUCGAACAUCGAGGCAGCUCUAUGCGCCCGCUCCCUGCAGCCCGUCUCCAGCAUGACCGCCAAGGUGAUCCAGCUGUACGAAAACCACAGCGUACCGUGCCCUCGCUGACGCACUGCGCACCCUCCAUGAGACAGAGGGCUGCAAGGUGAAUCCCUUCUACAAGCCCAUCGAGACCGACGUGCUCAACCCACAGUCAGUGAGCAUGGACGAGCUGUAUGGUGAAGACGACCCUCUCACACUGGAGUGGAGUGCCAUCAAACUGUCCCUCGGCAGUGACACCGUCGACACGCACAAGUGGGUGGUGAGUGACGUACCUGUGGACGUGCCUGUGGAUUGAGAAAAUUACCUCCGUGUUGGACAACAACAAGACGCUCUGUCUGGCUAACGGUGAAAGGAUCAAGCUCACACCUUCUACACACAUGUUAUUCGAGGUGUUACCCAUCAGACACAGGUAGCAUCGGUCCUAAAAACCAUCACAAACAAGCACAAGCAUGUCAUUUCCAAGAAGAUUUUUUUUUUACAUUAAACGCGUUCCUGAUGGAAAGGUCACACACAAACGUAUCUUUAAGACUUCACUCUUUCACACGCCUAUAACGAGCGAUAAACGCAUUCGAAGCAUGUUAUAAAGCCUCCGUAAUGCAUUACGCAUAGUAUUUAAAUAAAUAUUAUUAUAAUAACAUGCACUACACUACAUUAUGAAUUCUUAACAUAUUGUUAACACGUCUUUACUGUGAGCGGGAUGAUGACCAGACGCAGACAGGCUCCCGGGUACUCAUAUCCGUAGACGUACUGAUACAGAGCCAUUCUGGCCACGCACUUAUCCAGAUCCACGUCCCAGUAUUAGCACAGCUGCUUCUGCCACUCAAAGUUACUGCUCGAGUCCACCUACGUGAACACAUACAAAAUGACAUGUGAUAUAUAUAUACGGUCUCACUGUACACGAAUUGGGCAUUCUCGCUGACGAUAUAGCGUGGAUAGUUUAUAAUGAGUGCGUUCAUACUGUAUAAACCUGGGAACUGAUUUGCAUAUGCACUGCUGUCAGAGCUGCAGUUAUUUUUAAAAGAUUUAUUAACAGCUUCUGACCAAUCAGAUCUGACCACACCCAUGAUUCCCUUCGCUCUGAAGAGAAGGUGUGUAGCCAUCUGUACCCUUUCAUUGACGAGCUCGGUGACGAUGUCUCUGGUGUGGACAUCCACAGUAAUGAGAGCUGUGAUGAUGCUCUGAUGUAUUUUGGGUAAGUUACCCAAGAGUGGCCAACACAUUCAGCCUCUGUAUAAAUACAGACACACACACACACAGAGUAAUACCCGUACAUUACCACAUAUUACACCAUACACCAUUAUGUCAUGUAAUCAGAGAAGGAAAUCUGAACUACAGUUCCCAGCAGCCACUGCAUCACAGUCACAUGACCACCUGCACCUGGAUCACAUUCCUAGUAAGCACUUGUGUAUUUAGCCACAGUUUUCACUGCACUCUUUGUCUCACGUUUGUCUUUCUUUACCUUUGUCCCUGGUGCUGUGUUUUUCUCUUUGGUUUAUGUUUAGUCUUUGCCACAGUGAUUUGCCCCAAUGUCAGUGUCUUUUGUAUUUUGUUUAGUUCUUUAUUAAACUUGAAAAAUCUGCACUUG